rnacentral:lncRNA from 1 species
AUAGCUCACAUAAAGAAAGUCAAGAAGAAGGGCCAUUUUGCCAUCGACAAGAAGGUGGCCAGAGGAUACACCAUCAAUAUUUAGAGGUGCAUCCAUGGAGUGGGAUUCAAGUAGUAGGUCUUAUGGGCACUGAAAGAGAUCUGGAAAUUUUCCAUGAAAGAGAUGAGAGCUCCAGAUGUGUGCAUUGAUACCAGGCUCAACAAAGCUAUGUGGCAUAAAGGAAUAAGAAAUGUUCUAUCUUGUACUCUUGGGUGGCUGUCCUGAAAAGCAAUGAGAUGAAGAUUCACCAAACAGGCUGUAUACCUAUUUUGCCUGUCACCACUUUCAAAAAUCUACAGUUCAUUUCAAUGAGAACUAAC